GUCUAUUAGAGCGGAUGUGAAUAAAGUUGAUGGGUUUAAAGUUGGAAUAUCGUGACUUUUGGAAAAUAUUCGAUUGCUAAUGGCCGUUAGCCAUUUGGAUUCAACCAAGGAUUAUGCUGAAUUCCCAGUCACUCAUUUAAGGAUUAGCAAAGGAAGUCUGCUGUUCCCAAACUCAGCAGAAGUCACAAGGCCGCUUUGCUCCACAUGGGCCGUGACAUGACGCAAAGCCCCUUGGGCAUGAAUAUUUCUGGCAUGAACCAGGGUGAAUACAGUCCUGACUGACUGUUCCGAGACUGUGUCAUUGUUUCUUGUGAAUGUUCUUCAACACCACCAGUCGCAUUAGGCACCAGGUUUCGACAAGGAUUAUCCAGGACGUAACGGAUUUGUAACAGCUCGGGAUCGGUUUCAAAAAGGAAGAAGAUGAUUACGGUUCCGACGAUAGCGGCAAGGAUAAAUAAAAGCUCAUGCUGUCAUCAUUCGAUUGCGAAGGGUUCGACCCUUGGUUGAGAAGAAGGAGCUGUUCGAAGUUACAGCAGCAUCAGCACCGACAUCAUCGCAGUUAUCACUUCAAUGUUCAGCCUUGCUGGUGCUGUUUGCUACCAGUUGGAGCAAACUACCAUGGACAACGACCAUUGCGGCUGCUUAUUUUUGCUUAGGACCAACAAAGCUAUGGUCACUUCAACUGCAGCAGGACCAGCUGGUGACGCAAGGAAUCCACUACGAAAUUACAACAACGACCUGUUGUGUGGUCGGAGUUCUGCAAUAGUGCAACAGUUGAAUUGAUUAGCAGAACAACACAUGUAAAAGGAAAAAUAAAGAGGAAAAUAGAGCAAGGAAAAAUGAGCAAAAAAAAAGUUUGGGAAAUGUCUGAUUUCAUGCCCGUUGAAAAUAAUAAUUUUCAGGAACUGCGAAUGAAUUGUAUUGUUUUUAUUAUUUAAAUUAAAGACUUGUCUUAAGUUCAAAUGCUUUGUAUUACAAACUAAUGAUUCAAAACAGGGGUGUGCUUAUGGGUAGAUUUGAGUAGAUGACAUCUACUUAGCUGUUUGCUUAAAUUUAUUUAUUUUUUAAGGAAAAAUAUUCAAGUUAAACGAUAUUUUUGACCAUAAAAGGGCUUGCACCAAGUUUCACCAAUUUCUUGGCUCAAUUUUGAAGCGCCCUUUUCUUUUUUUCAAGUCAUAUGCACUCUUUCUGGAAAGUCAACCAAACAUUUCAGUGUUCCAAGGUAGUGCUGUCGCAGUC